UUUUCCCUUAAAAAGUUGGAAAGGUUUACUUACUAUUAUAAGAGCCACUUCAAAUCCACAGUGAGGAGUAUAAAAAUGAAUGCAAUUACAUCAAGUUCUUUAAAAGUGGCUUUUACAAAACUGCCCCAGAAGAGGGUCAGGUAGAUUAGGAAACAAGAAUUUUGCCGAGAGCCUGUUUUGUGCAAUGCACAUUGCUGCACCUAGAAACAAAGCUAAAAUAAAUCGGGAAGGGAAGCACCGCUCCACCAAGGCGACGUUCACGCGCACAGACGCCAGCUUGUGGUUGGCGUGGGGGCGUUUCCUGAGAUCUUUUGCUUUUCUCAGAGGUUACCUGGUGGUGCUGGCGUACAGGGGUAAAGAUCGGCACUGAACUCGGAAGUAAUGCAGAAGUGAAUUGCCUCCAGGGCGGGCUGGCGGCACAGGGACCAGGGCCGGUGCGGGGAGAGCAGCCAGGACGCGUCCCGGGUCCGGCGCGCGGUGGCCCGGGGGCCUCGGCUAGGGAGCGGCGCGUUCGCUACUUCCUCUUCCCAAAGCUUAGGGAGUGAGAGCGAGUCUCCAAAAGAUUUCGAUCUGAACUUCGUGGGUGUCCGAAAGGAGGCAAGACUGACAUCUUCUGCCCCGGCUGAUAGCCCGCGUAGACGCGCAGCUCCGCGAGCGCCGGCAAGAGCCCAGGGAGAAGCGGCGUGAAGGGGCGGCCGGGGGAGAGGCUGGGCAGAAGCGCCCGUCCCCGGCCCGGGGCCGCAGAGCCGGGCGCUGGGACGCGGAGGAGCCGGGGCUGCGGCUUGCUGGGCAUUGCAGGAGCCCGGCGGAGAGGCGCGCCUCCCGGCCCGCAGUGGCACUCUCCGCCGAGGCCAGACGAGGCCCCGGGGACACCCGUCCACGGACGCUCGGGCGCGGCGUGUGGCGGCCUCCACAGUCCCAGCACCCCGCAGCCCCGGUGGUCCCGGAGAGGGGACCGCCUCCUCACCUUGCGGGGCAGACAUGCCCACCUCGCCCCCACUCUGCGCCCCAACUCUAAGCCCAGGGCCGCCCUCGACUGCGCGCUCCGGGAAGGGCGCUGCCUGAAAUGAGUCUGCUUCCUUAACCAAGAAGUGAUGGGAAGUUAUGAAAUCAGGCUGAGAGGUCAUUCAGGGAGGUGCUUUCCAGCUGGAAAAGGGGGAGGAAGGUUGUCCUCCGUUAGUAGCAUUUAUUUGAAAGAGUAAAAACAUUUUAUGUAUAUGCGCCUCUGAUGACUUGAGAGGCUUCCCUCAACAAUUUCGCACAUGUACAAGUUGUGAAACUGGGGGCUGUUUUCGCAACUCGGCCAGAGUGAGUGGUAGCGUCAGAGAGCGGGGUUCACUUGUAGAGGUGACCUCUGGUUGCUGUGGCUAUUAAACAAGAAAACCAACUCGGUGGCAUGGUUAGGCAAUGGUGUGGUCGCACAGUGGCUGGACAUGCAGCGAAUCAUCUGCAGAAGAUGUGGGCAGAUUGAUGAAGUACAACGAUGGGUCCAGGACAUGGCGAUGGGCAGGAUGUCAUUGUCAGCUAAGCUCAUGUGCAGGUGACUGCCCUUGGACAGAAAAAAAAUGUCAAGGGUCAGGAAACAUGUGGACCCCGAGGAGAGCAGAGAAAGUACUGAGUUUAAACCACUUUUCCUGAUUUGAUUCAAGCCAAGAGGAAAGCAAAGGGCUGUGUCAACUAACUUUCUCUGAACUGGUGCAUCAGCAGAACGGGCUGAGCCUCUCUCACUUACCUUUAGAUCCCAAACACAGAGUUUGUGCCCAUCCGGCUACCCUGCUCAGAGCUUCAGCACACGAAGGAGAAGAAGAACCACUUGGACAUCUAGCACUCCUCAAUCUUGCUCAAGGCUGGCAACUGUCACAGAAUAUCGUCAGCCAACGGAGCAUCCUAUCAACAUGUUUCCCGCUUCUUAAGCCAGUAGCCUCUCAAUUUGUGAUCAGUUCCAUGAGCCAUGUGUUUCAGCUUUGAUAUUCACGCUUCUGAGGUCUUGAAUUAUUUAUUAUCACCAAGAAUUAAAAAAUAUUCAUUCAUCUGUUGCUUGAAGAAAAUCUGUGGGGCAAUGACCAAUACCUGUAAACUAAAAAAUCUGUGUGUAAUGACGAUUCCUCAUGCAUAAUGGCUUAUUUUUAUGGCCCUUUUGUUACUAUUCUGCCUCACUCUAAGUGGGCAGUUCUAGGUCAUUUGUUAGUAAAGCAGAGUAUCUGAAAAGCAAAAAUGUAAAUAUUAUAGAUAUACAUACAUGUGUAUUAAUAACUAUUUUUUAAAAGUAUAAAUGUAAUAUAGUUUUUAAAAUCUCCAUCAGCACAGACAAUAAUAAAAAAUAGAAGUCAUCUUUCAAAUUCA